AGAUAGAAAACAGCAGGGAAAUAAUAUUCAUUAAAAUGGCAUGUCCCUUCAAGUUCCAAAUUAGAAAAAGAAAGCUCUGACACGUGCGCUUACACACAAGUUUGGAAACUUUGUUGUUCUUCUAACUGUACUUAAUCUUAAUCGGAAAAACAUCAAUGAAUUUGGUUAGCAGUUUGGUCUUGUCCCACUUAACUUUAGAGUCCAAUCCUCUUGUCUAAAAUAACUUCUUGAUUUAGGGAUUAAACAAUGUACCCUUUUUCUGGUCAUUAUGAGUCAGCUACAAAACUGUGGCCCUCAUGUAACUGUUUGAUACUGAUCCUCUGAAAAUUCCUUUGCAUGAUUUGCACUUCAUCAGCAAUCUCCUGUACAGUGGUUGAUUUUUGUGUUAUGUAAAUGAAAUAUAUUGAGUCUGUAGAAAUGUAAGUGUUGUUUUAUUUUGCAUAACCUUUCACAUGUACAAACAUGUAUCAUUUCUAUGAUUAAUAAAAAAAAAAAGAAAAGUAUUCAUCGUCUCUUGGUAUCUUUGAUUACUUUACAUGUACAUCAUACACUACCGAUAAAUAUAUGCAUUUCUGGACAAGUUUCCGUUUAUUAAAGUGAGAACUUACAUUGUUUAGCUGCAAUAAAAAAAACACACACACUAUAACGAAUUAAUAAAAUUGGUAAACGACAAUAGAGCAGACAACAGCCGAAGUCAACCAAUGGGUCUUUAAUGUAGCGAGAAACUCCCCCACCCGGGGGCGUCUUUCAUCUUGCCCCGUUAAAAAAAAAUGUGCAUUAGUUCAGUGUUAAACUCCGAAUUGUACACAAGAAACUAAAAUUAAAAAUCAUUCAAGACUAUCAAAGGCAAGAGGCUCCUGACUUGGGACAGGCGCAAAAUUGCUUAAAAACAUACUUAAAUGAAUAUUCAGUGAUGCAUUAAAACACACUUACCAAUUACAUUUCAACACGAGCUAGAAGUGUUUAGAAACGUACUAUGCGGUGCAAGAUUGGUAUUAUAAGGUAGUCUCUACCAAAAGGCAGAUAAACAACCUUUCUCUGGAAAUCAUGAUGGUCCAAUAAAAUCAUUUAACCUCUCCCUAUAACUUUAAGCAAUAAGAUGUACAUUAUCUCAAGUCAUAUGGAUUUUUGUGGUAUGUGUCUACACUAAGCUUUUUCCAAUUCAUGCAACCGGUUUGCUACUUGUGAAAUAUGAUUUUGAGCGUUAUUUACCUUUUCAUUAAUUUCUGAAGUGAUCUUAUCCCUUUACAGGCCUCUGGUUAACCAGAUAUUUAUUGAGAUGGCGACCCUAUUGCAAUAGUCAUUAUAUUGACCAUUCCUGCCCAAUUACCAGCACGGCAUGUUUGUAGUGGUAUGUUAUAGCAUCUCCCUUAUUUUCAGC
rnacentral:lncRNA from 1 species